CAGAUAAUUUCUCUUUUCUUGAUGUAAUCCUCCUGUUUGUUACUGCCAUUCAAACUAUUGUUUGUUCCCUUGCUUGUUGUGUAACUUUAUUGAUAAUAAUGGUAUAACCAUUUUACCAUCAGUGCAUAAUAUAUCUACUGAAAUUAGCUUGUUAACUUUAAGGUUGUACAAAGCUGUGCUAUGGUUCAGUCAUAUUAUUUCCUCUUCAUGAGCAUGUACUGUUAUAUUGAUAGUUCCUCUGGAAAUUGCUUUUCCGAUGGUAUUUCAUACAGGUCUCACCUAAAGUAAUAGGCCUCCUCUCCCGUCUGACUGGAGCAUGCUGAGGACAAUGGCCUUUCCCUCAAGACCACUUGCUCCUUUGCAAAUGACGCCGAGUGCAAGCCUCUGAUAUGCAGUAUGCAUAUUCUUGCAAGGGUGCGUUGCUGAUUGACUGGCCAAAUUAGGCACUGAAUUAUAAAAAGUUCAUGCGGAAAAUAUGCUUUGCAGAGUAGGAGUGAUGUGUCACUCCUGUAUGUUGAUCUGACGAUGAGUCACUUUGGUAACAGCAGCCUGGUGAGAUGAACUAAUAUCAACGCCCCGUUCGACUGGGUGGGAAAGAACCCCAGCCGCAGCUGGUUCUUGCAUGUUGUGGCUGGUCUGGAUCGGUGGAUAAGCAGGUUCGGUGGACCAGCCCAGGCCAGAUUUUUUUCAAUUCAACAUGAAGUGGGGGUACCUGUGUGUUCAUUCUGUUUAUGCUCUUGUUCUUCCAACCUUUGUAAAUAAUUAUAACAUUGCUGGCAGACGGGUUAUGAUUUUCAAAUGGCACUAUCAGGGCUGGA